CUCAAAUUCCCAAGAUGCAACACUCACUUCUCAUGCACGUAUGCGCUCACCAUCCCCAGAGUUCUGAUCAGACACACCUGGCACCAAUCACACACACACACACUCUCACCGCUAGUACUUAGGGAAGUCAUUCACCCAUAAUCUAUGCGAAGUAUACGCUCAGUCAACUUGGUUCUCUGCGUUACCAAGCCGUUCUAGUUAGUUUGUCUUCUUGUGAUCCUCGACCCUUGUUUACGGUUUCGACUACGCUCUCUGCCUGACCCCGUUUGUGUUGUUCGUCCGAUCGAUUGACCUUUGCCUGUCUUACGACUACAUUUCUUGUACUUCCCGAUACCACGCUCUACACCUGCCGCCCGCUCCUGCUUCCAUGCCGAUUCGAGGUUCGUGACACACACAAAUAGCAGAGAUUCUGCUAAGAAAUUUUGGUGCCGGCCAACAUGUCCUGGAAUAAUAAAGUUUACUGGACAAACUGGAAAAAAAUCUGGUCAUACCAUUUCAGUGUUUAUUUUGCAUGGUAACAUUUUGGAUUAUGCAUAGUAUAUGCAAUUGUGGCAGUGGGGGCAUGGUCAAGCGUCAGCUGUGGAUGGAGAGGAGGCGAGUCAAAUCGGCAGUGCCUCCUGUAACAAGAGAGAGACAGAAAGAGAGAGAGAGAGUCGACCAGCACAAAGACACAUGUGUGUGUGCAUGUGUGUGGUUGAAUGAGUAUGCUGAAAAUCAAAAGUAAAAAUAGAGAGAAUAAAAAGCCCUUCUGAGUUGUAA